rnacentral:rRNA from 1 species
GACGAACGCUGGCGGCGUGCUUAACACAUGCAAGUCGAACGGAAAGGCCCUGCUUUUGUGGGGUGCUCGAGUGGCGAACGGGUGAGUAACACGUGAGUAACCUGCCCUUGACUUUGGGAUAACUUCAGGAAACUGGGGCUAAUACCGGAUAGGAGCUCCUGCCGCAUGGUGGGGGUUGGAAAGUUUCGGCGGUUGGGGAUGGACUCGCGGCUUAUCAGCUUGUUGGUGGGGUAGUGGCUUACCAAGGCUUUGACGGGUAGCCGGCCUGAGAGGGUGACCGGCCACAUUGGGACUGAGAUACGGCCCAGACUCCUACGGGAGGCAGCAGUGGGGAAUAUUGCGCAAUGGGCGGAAGCCUGAUGCAGCAACGCCGCGUGCGGGAUGACGGCCUUCGGGUUGUAAACCGCUUUCGCCUGUGACGAAGCGUGAGUGACGGUAAUGGGUAAAGAAGCACCGGCUAACUACGUG